GGGGAACUAACCAUUCCCCAGGACCACAAGGUCACAACAGUACAAAAAGUACUGGUGCAGUCGCAGCACAAAGUUGUCCUACAGACGAGUGGCUUGCUGGCUAGCUAACAUGCCACACGGGUCAAGGCAAUAAGGGAAACGCUCGUGUCAAAGUGACGUCAUACUCACUCUGGACUCAAGACAUUUAAAGUAACAGCUAAGCAACCUUGCUAACUGUGGCAGUAAGUUGUUCUGUACAACUGGAAACCCCGGCCGGGGGGGGGUUAACACUUUUCAUUGAAAACUUGUUUUGAGAAGUUUAGCAGUGUACUGGAAAAACUAUUGGGUCCUAUACAACAUCACUGGGAGCAACCUUGAUGUCAGGGAUACAAUCUACUCAGUCGGGAGAGAAGAAGUGUCCCGCGCGCUGCAGCGCAUGCUGUCUGCAUGAAGUCACAAAGGCAGAUGUCUGGGGGCCAUGAAGACCACAGUCCUGUUGGAAAGAGGAGAGAGGUGGAGAGAAAGAAAUGGAGAGACAAAGAGAGAGAGAGAGAGAGCGUGAGAGGGAGGGGGGGUGAAAAGAGGAGAGCGAAAGAGAGAUGGUCAGGAGAGAUGAGGAGAAAAAGAGAGACACUGAGAGAGAAAGGGACAGAGAGUGACACAGACAGAGAGAAAGAGAGAGAGACAGAAAAACAUUUAUGUUGCGGACAUGGCUUACUGGGGCCCCCUGCUGGUAGUCCUGGAACACUUCUGAUAGGUUGGCUACAGAAAAUGACAGGGUCACUUCUGAUAGGUUGGAUACAGGACAAUGUCAGGGUCACUUCUGAUAGGUUGGAUACAGAACAAUGACAGGGUCACUUCUGAUAGGUUGGAUACAGAACAAUGACAGGAUCACUUCUCAUAGGUUGGAUACAGGACAAUGACAGGGUCACUUCUGAUAGGUUGGAUACAGGACAAUGACAGGGUCACUUCUGAUGUUUGUUACAGAACAGUAUUAGGGUCAAUUUUGAUUUGUUAGUUACAGAACUUUUACAGGAUCACUUUGAUAUUUUAGUUCCAGAACCCACAGACCGGAUCACUUCUGAUAGGUUACUUACAGAACGUAUCGGGCCACUAAAAUUGUUACAAAAAGUUUUUCUACAUGUUAUACAACAGUUGAGUAUAUGUUGAAUACAGUUUUAAUACAUGUUUAAUACAGUUUAAAAGAGUUGAAUACAUGUUUAAUACAGUUUGAAAC
ensembl:lncRNA